CCGGGGUCUCCGUGCCAGCCCCUUCUCGCUUUUGACACCGCCGCCUCCUCUCCUCUCCUCUCCUCUCCCUCGAUUCUCCUCGCGCCGCCGCACCUACUCCGAGCCCCUCCUCUUCCCCGUGCCAUCAGCCUCCUCCUCUGCGUCUCUCCUCGUCGGUCGGGGAUCUCCUCGCCGCGAUUGCAGUGGCCGAACAAGAGGAAGAGGAGCUGCAGCGUCGGGUCCGUGCAGCGGCCUCCUCGUGGUGGUCGGCUGCUCGACGCGCCGCGCCACCGCUGUGGGAGAUGGUGAACACGAGGAGAUGCAGGGUGGCCUCGCCGGAAGAGGGCGACGCCGGGAACCACCCACUGGCGAAGGACCGCGUGGGCUGGCACUUCCCUGCGACGCCCUCCUUCCCCGACUUCGCCGUCGCCACUGCCCCCUCCCCUCCCGUCGAGGCUGAGCCUGCACAGCGUGGACGAGCCGGUCGCGAUGGAACCAGAGCGCUCGAGGCCGGGGUGCGAGAACGAGAUGAUGUCCAGCAGGCGGAGGGUGGCCAUGGAAGGAGCAGCCCACAAUGAAAUCCAUUUUCUCUUUGUGUGUGUGUGUGUGUGUGUGUGUGUGUUGGAUUUGGAUCGAGAAAGGAGAUGGCGUGGCCGCGUGGGGAUGAGGCGGUGGACGGAGGAAGAUGGCUGAUCUGGAUCCAGGCGGCCACUCGUGUGUUUGAUCUGUUCAUUGACAUGAUCUUAUCUCCUCUCAUCUGCCAUCUCUUCUCUCACUGAUCCCGUCUCGUCUCGUCUCAUCUCUACAGGUAGAGCGGCCAGAGGAGCAGACCAACAUCUGAACAUCAACUGCAGUAUGUACAUUUUGGUUAUACUUUGUUUCAGUUUGUACACAUCUCGUUUUGGUUAAACUCCUGUCUUAGAUGCUAUGGCUGAAACUAGAGCAAACUGUUUGUGUGCAUCACAUUUUGGUUCAGUUUUGGAUGAGUGAAAGUAGGUAGAGCAUACUAUGUGUGUGUGUGUGUGUCCAUUGUAUCAUGACGAAUUGACUUGUGCUAAAAUUAGAAACGAGAAAUGGUACACAGACAUGUUAGUCUAUUUAACCACCUUCUUGGAUCAACUUGACACAAUACUAUUUUGAUUUGUUUUAAUAACUGUGGUUAUAUAUUCUAUAAAUUUAUUCAUCAACAUGAUUUCUCUAUUUUCUGUGUCGUACAUUUUACAUAUCUUUAGUCAUAAAAAAUCAAAUAGGGGCAAGACUGUUACAGAAAAAUUACUUGCAAGCAUAAUAGCAUAUUGUGAUUUACUUCUUUAUAGAGUAUUUUGUAAUGGAAUUAUCUGUAUAAUCUCCUGUGUUUGUCUGAUGCUGACCAUCUGAGAAUAUGUGAAACUAUUUUCUCUCUGUCCUGAAGGUUGUUGACUGCAGAAUCUGUGGUGAUCCACACUCUGUUGGUUCACACUCAUUGAGUUCUCUCGUGAAGAUAUUAUAUCUUCACAUGGUACAUUUAUGUUUUUCGGCAGUUAAUUGAUGUUUUGAUACAUGAUACAUUUCAUGCACAGGGUGCUAGAGCUGCACUUAAUUUGCUAACAUCAUCGCCUUGUUCUUCAUGGGAACGUAAGGACCAUCAACUCUGCAACUCUAGCACAAGUUAAGAGUGAGGAUGGUGAGCCAACCCACUGCCGCAAAGUUCUACAAAUGGUUCUCAGAGGUUUAAUGGCGAUGACAUGGCGCAGUCGAGCAAGUUUUGGUCAAUGUUUCAUGGCUCAAUCAACGAAUGGUGUUAAAACUGCUAAUCCUGAAAGCAAGAUUUUGAAUGAUUCCUACCUCGAGCUUCCGCUUCAGUUGUUUCUUGGUUGUUCAAGUAUGCUUGGUGGUUCUUCCUCGAGGGUUGAGAUGGACCAUGCACUGGUUACAUCUUCUCGUAUCUCCAUGUUCUUCUUAAUUUUCUUGUGCAAUCAGAGCUGCAUUAAGACAGUUUGUGCAGUCCAUGCUUUUAACAUUGAAAAUGAGAAGGUGAAAUGAUGGGCUUGGACAGUGCUGAUGUUUUUUUUUUCUUCUGGGCAUUACAUUACUAAAAUGAACUAUAUUUACAAUUGUUGAACUUCCAUAGCUAAUAAGAUGAUUUUUUUUCAGCAUUCGAUAUGGAACAAUUGUACCAUAUGUGGUUGCUUUCAGGUGCUUUGUUAGGUAACACCUGCGCCUUCAUUUCAAGUGCAAGCCGCCUCUCUCACUAUGCAUUAUCUCUAGCCGCAUCACCGUCGACAUCAGCUACCGGCUAUACAUAUGAUCCAUGUGUCGUGUUUAGUCUCUCUCUAAGACUUGAUAUGCCUUAGUUCUGAUGAUCCGACAGACUCUGCCUCUCUUUUGAAGAUCAUCCACCUUUUGGAAGAUGUUCAUCUUUGAUUUCAACCGCUGGAUGUGUCUCAUGUGCUUCUGAUAAUAUAGACCUGCUAGCUUGCUCUGCUUGCUAUGUUUUAUGGCUGAACACUCUAAUAUUGCAGUUCUGUUAAGUGCAUUCCUUUUUAAGCAAUUGGUGCUCAUUUGGACUGCACACAGAAGUUAACAAAUAAUACAAUAAGAUUAGUACGCCCAGUCCUAUGAGGGUGGGUUUCUUUUUGAUGCAUCGCUCGAUUUGUGCUGGCUGAAAAGUCUACGAGCUAAUGCCUUGCUCGGUUUGUGUUUGCUAAAAAAUCUACUCCCUCCGUUCGGAAUUACUUGUCGUACAAAUGGAUGUAUCUAGACGUAUUUUAGUUCUAGAUGCAUCCAUUUCCGAGACAAGUAAUUCCGAACGGAGGGAGUACAAGAUAAUGUAUGGUGCGACCAGCCUGUCAGCAUGCACGAUCUUUGUUUGGAUUUCGUCUCAUUGGUAGUUUGGCCCUGUAGAUAAAACUUGUGCAUAUAUAUGGCCUGCUUCCUGGUUAAUUAAGUAUUUGUAUGCUUUUAAAACAUGACAUGAUCUUUGCGUAGUGGCACAUCUGUCUCAUAAGUUUUUGACUUCCGUUUAUGACAUGCUAUCAAUUCAGUUGUCAGUUUGGCUGAGAGGUUUCUGAAUUUUUCCUUAAUGUGAUGUGUUUCUUAUCGUGAGUGAUUUUCGUGGCUCACUCGUUUCCUAAUUGCCAAACCUCAUAGAGGAAACUAAGGAAUGGCGGGGACUCUGGUUUGGUUAUGAGGAGUGCUUGGUGGAUGCUUAUGUGAUACUAUUAAGGAGCUUAGCUCAAGCUCAAAUAUGGAAGGUCACUACUUGAAGGUCUGCACAUGUUCAUGCUGGAGCAUUAGAAUAAAUAAAGUGAGUCUUGCAGUAUUUAUUGGGUGAAGUUCUGUGUAUGUAUCUACACGCGGCGGUGCCUAUUGCUGGAUGAGAGAUGGGUCCUGACCCGGACGCAGCGCCCAUCCCCAUCUCUGGUACCGUCGGAGAGGCAAGGAUGGCGCCGGCCGUGCCGCGGCACGGCUCCAAGGCCACCAGUGUGACUGCAACAACAGCUACAACUUCGCGCCGCUAAAAUUUCCCCGGGCUGGUGGAAAGCGGAAAAAGGUAUGGUUCGGAUGGAUUUGAUUUGUUCCAUGUGUACAUCUCCGGUCUUUCCUCCAUAGCCAGUCGUUGAGCAGAUGGCGGAGCAUGGGAAGGAGGAGGAGUUCAGCACGGGGCCCUUGUCUGUGCUCAUGCUUAGCAUCAAGAACAACACUCAGGCUGGUUUGGUGUUCUUUCAUCAGUUGAGAUCUUGGCUUAGCAAGGAACAAUUUUCUGCAGUACUACUCACUAUCUCUCUUCAUAUAUGUUUGAAUUGAAGGCUUUCCAGCGUUUCUUGUACUUGGGCUUGCUAGAAAUCUAAUCAACUUAGUUGCUUGUUCAACUGUAGUUUCGUGAAUUGCCUUUAGUAAUGCUGUAUUUCGUUCUGUCCUCUUAGUAUGCAAAGUUAAGUGCAACAUCGCAUAAUAUAUAUGAGUAAUUAACCGUGCUCUAGAGUAAUGCAUUGCGUUCUGUCCUCUUAGCAUGCAAAUUCUAGUGCAUUAUCAGGUAAUAUAUAUGAGUAAUUAACUAUGAUUUUGGCGGCCUUUCGUCAAAUGCCUUUGCCCUUUGGUAGUCGUUUACUACUGGAAAGUUAAAUGAAACAUCAUUUAGAUGACUGAUUAUUAAGUGCCAACCAUAGUUUCUGUGCAACUGUUUAUUUUUUCAGUGUUAAUGUCGCUCUUCUCGCUUCUCUGAGCAUGAUUGUUUCAUAAUUAGCACAGGAUCUGUAGACAUGGGAAUGCUCAAGUGUCAACUGUCGUGAGACAAUGAGAACAACAACAUUUACAGAACAUAGAAUCUGAGCUUCAAGACAAGCAGCCCAUAGUAACCUUAGUUGAGUAGUUCAUCUAUUAUUUUGGACUGACUGAAUGUGGUCUUAUACCAAUCUAAUAUAUGUACUUAUAUCUCUGGAAGACUAAAGAGUUGAAUGAUGCAUAGUGUGAAUGAUGAACUUGUACAACUGAUGGGUGGGGAGGGCAGGUCUGCAAGGUGUUGCGAAAACCCUUUCUUGAUGUGAACAAUAUGGUCUGGUAUUAUUGUUAGUUGUCAAUCGAUCCAUGAUUCAAUCUCGUUUGCAAAUUCAAGUGUUUCAUUUGAAGGAUGACGCAAAUCACACGCAAGGAACAUGUUAAUAUGCAUACUAUUGUUCUUCCCGAGUCAUUUGUGCAACAUAUAUAUUUCAACAUAGCAAUUGAAAACUGACUGGUGUGCAGGUUGGUUUUUGUGUGUUCUAAGUUCUACAACUACUAAGGGCUAUUGGUUUUGGAAAUUAUUCACAAGCAUGCGGGCUCUGACCUACUUUUGUCCAAAUAUCUUUCUUUGUAGUGAGUUGUGCUGAUUCACAUUAAGGUCCUGAAGAGGAUGUUUCUGCACCUCUAUUAUGCUUCCAGAAAAAGGCGCACCUAUGGAUUUUCAAGAAUGGGCACAUUCGCUCUCUGGUCUUCCGAUGCAACACUGUAUGUGUUGUCGAAUUUUGGCUUUUGGCUGCUCGUGUAGUGUCGUACUAAAUAAAUAGACCAGUCAGAUGCAUUGUAGCCAUUUGUGCUUUGGCUCAAUAAAUGAAGAAACCUAUAGGAACAUAUAUUGUGUUCUUUGUGUUCCACCUUGUAAGACUGCCACCUCUCUGUUAAUAUAGACCUAUGACCUUGCUUUGCUUGGCUUGCUUUA